UGAGGAAUAUUGGACAAUGGAUGGAAAUCUGAUCCAGCCAUGCCGCGUGCAGGAAGACUGCCCUAUGGGUUGUAAACUGCUUUUGUAUGGGAGCAAUAAGCCCUUCGUGAAGGGUGAUGAGAGUACCAUACGAAUAAGCAUCGGCUAACUCCGUGCCAGCAGCCGCGGUAAUACGGAGGAUGCAAGCGUUAUCCGGAUUUAUUGGGUUUAAAGGGUGCGUAGGCGGUUGGAUAAGUCAGCGGUGAAAGUUUUCUGCUUAACAGGAAAAAUGCCGUUGAUACUGUCUGGCUAGAAUAUGGUUGCUGUGAGUGGAAUGUGUGGUGUAGCGGUGAAAUGCUUAGAUAUCACACAGAAUAUCGAUUGCGAAGGCAGCUCACAAAGCCAUUAUUGACGCUGAGGCACGAAAGUGUGGGGAUCAAACAGGAUUAGAUACCCUGGUAGUCCACACUGUAAACGAUGAUAACUCGCUGUCGGCGAUACACAGUCGGUGGCCAAGCGAAAGCGAUAAGUUAUCCACCUGGGGAGUACGACCGCAAGGUUA
rnacentral:rRNA from 1 species